rnacentral:tRNA from 1 species
GCCCGGAUGGUGGAAUUGGUAGACACAGGAGACUUAAAAUCUCCCGAUAGCAAUAUCGUGCCGGUUCAAGUCCGGCUCCGGGCACCA